CAAGGAGGUCACACCUGUUUCCAUGCCGAACACAGAAGUUAAGCUCCUUAG
rnacentral:rRNA from 1 species